rnacentral:rRNA from 1 species
UACGGAGGGAGCUAGCGUUGUUCGGAAUUACUGGGCGUAAAGCGCGCGUAGGCGGCUUUGUAAGUUAGAGGUGAAAGCCCGGAGCUCAACUCCGGAACUGCCUUUGAUACUGGCGACCUUGAGUCCGGGAGAGGUGAGUGGAACUGCGAGUGUAGAGGUGAAAUUCGUAGAUAUUCGCAAGAACACCAGUGGCGAAGGCGGCUCACUGGCCCGGUACUGACGCUGAGGUGCGAAAGCCAGGGGGAGCAAACGGG